AAGAAAAACUAAAAUCUAAAGGUUGAUUCUGAAUCACCAAAAUAUAUAAACAAUAUAGAAGUUAAUAUCGAUAACAGCAGCUAAAUGAGAAGUAAACAAUGACGCAGAUAUGAAUGUCCGUCAGAAAUAACAUUUUAAAUUUAAACUGUUUCUCAAAUGAAGCACAACAUCCAUUAUCACCCUGUAAUUACACACAAAAAACAGAAACCAUACAGACAACUGUGGCCCAGAGCCAAUACGGCAGUUACGUUGACGUACCGCUACGGUUCGGUAGCGUCAACGUCAAAUGCGUAGCUGCGUCAGGUCUAUAUACGGAAGUGGGCGUGGCUCAAUGUAAACUGGGUUAAGGGAGAGAAAAAAAUCCGAGCGUACUGCAUCUGCGGAGAUGGGCUGAGACAGUGAGGACGAAUCUUUACGACACAACGGAGCCUACGAGCUAAAAGAGAAGACUGCAACACUCCGGGCCCCAGCAGACCAGGGAAUGUCCCGGCGGCGAGAUGCCUUACGUGGACCGACAGAACCGCAUCUGUGGCUUCCUGGACAUUGAGGAGAAUGAAAGCAGCGGCAAGUUCCUGCGCCGCUACUUCAUCCUGGACACACAGCUGGGAAGCCUGGUGUGGUUCAUGGACAACCCACAGAACCUGCCUGUGGGUGCAGAUUGUGUUGGUUCCCUUAAACUCACCUACAUCUCCAAGGUCAGUGAUGCCACCAAGCUGAGGCCCAAGGCUGAAUUCUGCUUUGUCAUCAAUGCAGGGAUGAGGAAGUUCUUCCUGCAGGCCAAUGAUCAGCAGGACCUGGUGGACUGGGUCAACGCUCUUAACAAGGCCACAAAAAUCACUGUGCCGAAAACCUGUGAAGGCCAGCAGACAUCUGAGAACAACAGGUCUCUCCCAGAUGUCGUUGGAACCAAGAAACAAAUCUCCUACAGGACGGAGAUCAUUGGAGGAGUUCCCAUCGUCACACAGACACAGCACGACGCCGGUGAUGGGGCAGACAGAGCGGAGCGCGACGCCAUGCAUCGCUCCCACAGCCAGCUGCCGUACUUCCUGAGUCGACCCGCUCAGGAACACACCGUCAUCAAGUCAGGAUACUGUGUCAAACAAGGAGCCGUGAUGAGGAACUGGAAGCGGCGAUAUUUCCUCCUGGAAGAGAACUCCAUGAGCUACUUCAAGUCUGAUUUGGAAAAAGAGCCGCUGAGAAUGAUCCCUCUGAAGGAAGUUCACAAAGUCCAGGAGUGUAAACAGAGUGACAUCAUGAUGAGAGAUAAUCUGUUUGAAGUCGUCACAACGUCGAGGACUUUUUACAUACAGGCCGACAGUCCAGAGGAGAUGCACAGCUGGAUCAAAGCCGUCUCAGGGGCCAUCGUAGCCCAGCGGGGGCCCGGGCGGUCUGCUGCCACAGAACACGGCAGUCGCUCCACUUUCUACCGCAGCCACCCGGGUCCCCCCGCCCCUCGCUCGCCCAUAUCUACCGUGCCACCAUGCCUCCCAGAGUGGGGCGCUGCUGUCACGUGCGGCACACGCCCGCAGCCUGGCGUGGGACAGCGAGCACUUCAUGAGCCUGCUGCCGCGGCCCAGCCGCGGCCACUCGCAGGCACGCCUGUCCCUGCAGGAGACGCGCCUGGCAAAGUGACGCCCUCGCCCUGUGUGCCUCCCGUGGCCCCUGUCACCACGUUGGAGGUUGAGGAGUCACCGUGGCGGAGGCGGAGCAGCUUCGAGCCCCACAUGCCUGAAACCCCUCUGGACUUGGAUGAUGCUGACCUGCCUGUGAGUGAGGUCUGAGAUGUUGAGACUGUGGACAGGGUUGCCAUUAAUGAGGAGGAAAGGAAGAAACAAAAUGGAAAUUGACCGGCGUUUGUGCCGAAACUGGCAGUGAAACAUCACAAACUCAGCUCUUCAGCUCCUACCUUGGUGCUGCCAGUGAGAAGGAAACGUGUCGUGGGUGACCUCUGACCUGUCCCUGUGUGCCAAAGAUGCAGUGUUUUAGCCAAGUCCUAUGUGUUUGAGUCCAAGUCUGAGUACAGCUCACCAAAGAACAAGUCAAGUCCACAAAAAACCCUGGAGCUAACAGGUCACUGACCAAACCACUCAGUCAAGAUCUGGCUGAUUUUCACCUCUGAGCCCAAGUGGAAUUCCUAAGAUGGAUGUUUGAGUUCAAAUCCAAUCACCACUGGACGUCCCAAGUCAAAACACCAGUGUUUCUAGUUCAGGUUCUGAGUCCCUCGGCUUUGAGUCAAAGUAAACGAGCGACCAAGAACUUGGUCGAGUCAGAAAAUGCUAGUAUUGAUUUUCUUUAAAAAAAGUUCUUGUUAGUUACAACGAGUGUAAGUCAGAGUUAUUGACCAAGAAGAGAAGUUUGAGUCCAGUUUGAGUCCCGAAAGUUCCGAGUCAGAGGC